rnacentral:rRNA from 1 species
AGUGAACGCUGGCGGUAGGCCUAACACAUGCAAGUCGAACGGCAGCACAGUAAGAGCUUGCUCUUACGGGUGGCGAGUGGCGGACGGGUGAGGAAUACAUCGGAAUCUACUUUUUCGUGGGGGAUAACGUAGGGAAACUUACGCUAAUACCGCAUACGACCUACGGGUGAAAGCAGGGGAUCUUCGGGCCUUGCGCGAUUGAAUGAGCCGAUGUCGGAUUAGCUAGUUGGCGUGGUAAAGGCCCACCAAGGCGACGAUCCGUAGCUGGUCUGAGAGGAUGAUCGGCCACACUGGAACUGAGACACGGUCCAGACUCCUACGGGAGGCAGCAGUGGGGAAUAUUGGACAAUGGGCGCAAGCCUGAUCCAGCCAUACCGCGUGGGUGAAGAAGGCCUUCGGGUUGUAAAGCCCUUUUGUUGGGAAAGAAAAGCAGCAGGUUAAUACCCCGCUGUUCUGACGGUACCCAAAGAAUAAGCACCGGCUAACUUCGUG